UACGUAGGGGGCGAGCGUUGUCCGGAAUUAUUGGGCGUAAAGCGCGCGCAGGCGGCUUCUUAAGUCUGAUGUGAAAGCCCGCGGCUCAACCGCGGAGGGUCAUUGGAAACUGGGGAGCUUGAGUGCAGAAGAGGAGAGUGGAAUUCCACGUGUAGCGGUGAAAUGCGUAGAUAUGUGGAGGAACACCAGUGGCGAAAGCGGCUCUCUGGUCUGUAACUGACGCUGAGGCGCGAAAGCGUGGGGAGCAAACAGG
rnacentral:rRNA from 1 species